UGUAAAAGUUCAAAGUUUUGGGAUUACAUUACCAUGUUGUGUUGUAUUUAAAUGGUAAAGUUAUUUAAAACGCACUGAUUGUCCCAAAGUGCUUGCCGUACUUUCUCAGCACAUGCGCUGUAAGACCGGGGACAUGUGUCAUUUGAAUCCUGUGACUGUGAGAUGACAGAACCGCAUUUUUUCCCUUUCCUGUGCCAUCCUGCGAUGUUAUGGUUUUGAAUGUGGAGAUGCAAACAGUGUACUGAGACUCAAUCUACAAGGUAAACGCAGAAUUCACCCGCAUCACCACCGUUCCGCUGCUGCCUACCUUCAUGUCUCAACUGGAUCGCCAUUCGUCUCAGUUGAUGAAGGUUUUCAAAAAGAAGGGGGGAACAGCAGGACGCAAUUUGGGCCUGAUCAUGGCAGCCAUGGACAAGGAUCCCACAGUUGAAACACGACGGGACUGUGUCCUUAAAGCGCUCUGCGUCUACUUGAAUGAAAGUUCCGAGAGCUUCAUAAAGGAAUAUUUGGUAA